rnacentral:rRNA from 1 species
UACGUAGGGGGCGAGCGUUGUCCGGAGUUACUGGGCGUAAAGCGCACGCAGGCGGUCUGCUAAGUUUGGGGUGACAGUUGGUGGCUUAACUGCCAAAGUGCUUCGAAAACUGACAGACUUGAGGGCUUCAGAGGGACACGGAAUUCCGGGUGGAGUGGUGAAAUGCGUAGAGAUCCGGAGGAACACCAAAGGCGAAGGCAGUGUCCUGGGGAGUACCUGACGCUGAGGCGCGAAAGCCAGGGGAGCGAACGGA